AAUCCAGAAAUGCCAUCUCACUCAUCCCCUUAUCCCUUCCCCGCUUCCUCACCACACCACUGAUACAAUCAAUACACAUUUCCUCAGCACCACUUCCCCAUUUUCCCAAAAAAACAAACCAUGUGAAAUCACCAUGCAAGAAACUCUCCAUCUUUCUUCUUCAUCUUUUUCCCUUCCUAAAUCCUCCAUUUCUCCGCCCAAAGCCCUCAAAUCCACUACCAUUUCUUUCCCUCCUCACCCCAAACCACCCACCCCCAUCUCCCCUCAACUCUCCUCCGCCACUUCUCUCCCUCCACCUCCAACCACCUCCCCUAACUUCCAGCUCCAAGAGAAACUCCUCUUCUUGGAUUCUCUUGGCAUAGACUCUUUCCAUUGCCUCACUUCGCAUCCCCUUAUUAUCUCCUCUUCCUUAUCCGAUCUCAAAUCAAUUAUUGACUUUCUUUACUCCAUCAAUCUCACCAUUCUUGAUAUCCGGCGCGUGCUACACAUGUGCCCGGACAUUUUAACCACACCACUUUCCUCCAUCCUCCGCCCCGCCGUCACCUUCUUGCUCCGGGAAGCUCACGUCACCGGUGACAAUCUUCCGUUUGUUCUCCGCCGCCGCCCCCGGCUGCUCACCAAAUCCGUAGAACAGAGUCUUCGACCCACCCUUUACUUCUUGCAGAGUACUAUUGGUAUUGAAGAUGUUUCAAAGUGCGCAACUUUACUCUCUUGUUCUGUGGAAACUAAGUUUAUACCCCGUAUGGAUUACUUUCAGAGAAUUGGGUUUUCGAGGAGAGAUGCGAAAGUGAUGUUUAGGAGGUUCCCAUCGUUGUUCUGUUACAGUAUAGAGGAGAAUUUGGAGCCGAAAUUCGAUUACUUUGUGGUGGAAAUGGGGAGGGAGUUGAAGGAAUUGACUGUGUUCCCUCAGUAUUUCUCGUUUAGCUUAGAGAAAAGGAUAAAGCCGAGGCACAGGAUGUGUGUUGAGAAAGGGGUGUGCUUGUCAUUGCCUGUGAUGUUGAAGUCACACGAAUCGCGAUUUCGUGAUAGGUUGGAUGUGUGUUGUAGCUCUUCUAUGCCGGAGUCGAAGCCAGGUCGCUGCUGGAUUUAAAGUCCAGAGUGCUAAACCACUAAACUAUAGAACCAAGUUAAUUGACUAUGUGGGAGAACGAUUGACAGUGUUCGAGGUUGAUUGACUUUGCUUUUUGUAGUGUUCUUUUACUGAAUAAGCAGCAGCAGGUGUAAUAUCUAUUUGGAAAAUUGUUGCCCAUUGUACAUGAAGAAACUAGUAACACAAUAAGCAUGGAGUUGAGAUACAUGACAAUUCCUUGAUCAAGCAAUGCAAGUAAGGGUGUUAAGAUGCUAGGAUGGGGUGUUGAUUUUAGGUUUGAAGCAUUUGUUUUAUUUCUCUUCCCUACAAUUCUACCUUAGUCGUAUGAAAUUAUAAAAUUUAACAGGUUAUAUUUUAGUGAUCCACUUUUCGGAUAAUCUCUGGCUCUGUAUGACAAUUGCAAGGCUUGUUUAUGAAUGGGUGUCUAUUUCAGUG